UGAUCCCUUCCCGAACUCAGAAGUGAAACCUCUUCGCGCUGAUGGUAGUGUGGGGUUACCCAUGUGAGAGUAAGUCAUCGCCAGCU
rnacentral:rRNA from 1 species